ensembl:rRNA 5S_rRNA 5S ribosomal RNA
UACUGCCAUACCACCCUGAACGUGCCAGAUCCCAUCUGAUCUCGGAAGCUAAGCAGGGACAGGCCUGUAAUCCUGUGAUUACAGGCCUGUCCACAGGAUGUUCCAGUGA